AAACAUCGACCCUCCUCCAGGUGUUUUGGACUUCAACUCCCACCCUUCCUGACAGCCUCAGAUUGCAUUGGACAUUAUUAGGAAGAACUUUCUGACUGUGAGAACUGUUCAGCAGUGGAACUCCCUGCCUCAGAAUCAGUCUCUGAAGUUUUGAAGGGCUAUCUGUCAGGGAUAUUUUGAUUGUGCUUUCCUUGCAUUUCUUUUCCUGUAUCAGGAGUGUUUUGAGAAACCACAAGUGUGAGAGAAUUGGCUGUCUGCAAGGACGUUGCCCAGAUGUUUUGACCGUCCUUGUGGGAGGCUUCUCUCAUGUCCCCACAUGGAGCUGGAGCUGGAGCUGAUAAAGGGAGCUCAUCUGUGGUCGCCCCUUUUGGAUUCGAGUCAGCAACCUUCAGUGUGGUAAGAUAGCGCUGUUCCUCUGUCGAACCUCCAUAGAUAAGAAAAUAAACCCUGAAAAGCAAGAUACGCAGAUGUUAUCCAAACUCCAGAAGAUAAGAUGUACUGACACAAGAAGGGUCAAGUUCCUAAACCAAUUAUCUGAAACUGCAGCAAAGAUGGCCACAAAUUCACUUUUUAUGAGCAUCACAGUGGAAUUCCUUACCUUGG